UAUGAAAUGUCUGAUUAAAGAUUUAUUUUGAUAGAAUAAAACAUGUAUAAUAAAUUAUACUUUCAUAA
rnacentral:tRNA from 1 species